rnacentral:tRNA from 1 species
GAACAGAUAGCUUAAAUUAAAGCAUGACACUGAAGAUGUUAAUAUAGAUUAGUUCUUCUGUUC